CGCGUCAACGGAAUUCUCUUCGCAUUAAUCACAGUUUCGAGAAGAAAAUAGCGUUUGUCAUCUCGGAUUAUCGACUAAACGAAGUAAAUACACUACCCUUCUUUCCGAUAUUUAAUCUUCCUCUAUCUGUGCGAUCGCGCGAGGGGAAGAAUACCGUUUGUAAAGUGACGCGUAAUAACUCAUACGUCGCGGCGCGGUUGGAAAAUUAAAAGUGAAACGGGAGGUACAGAAACGGACGAACGUGUCGCGUGGAAACACUGUGAAUUGCACCGACGAGAAAAGUAACGGAGGAAAUUCUGGGAUUUUUAUGCGAAACGCUAAAUAAUAAAAUUAGUACGCUGUUAACAGUGCGCCGCGCACCGGCGGUUAAAGUUAAUUUAAUGAUUUUCGUUAUUGGCUCGAACACCAUAAAGCUAUCCGAGCCCAUCUGUUGCCCGCGUAGAUUUUAAUAUCGCUCCACUCAUUUGCGCCGCCUGAAUCGAACCGACUAGUGUUCCCUCGUUCUGGCCACUAUUUUAAUGAUUUUCAUUCCACCAACGAUGGAGCUCUGACGAGGACCUGGAAAAUGUAGGAGAAAUGAAGCUGCUUCACAACUAUGGAGCAGUUUUGCAGAAUCUACUACCCUGCCUUCUCUAUUGGGAAACUCUAUUCCACGACGUCUACGGGUUUGGAUUUGGGCCGAAAGUAGCCACCAGUGCAACAGCAGAUUACUACAGCUUGGAAUUUGACACUUUUUCCAAUAAUUUAGAGCAUCGGUUGCUCUAGAAAUUUGCAUAAGCUUGAGAUGUUAAUCUUCUAUUAAGGAAAGCAAAAAUAUAUCAAAUAUCGUUUACAAACAUUGUUUUGGAGAAUUCGUUAUACUGCUUAUCUCAUUUCGCAAUUAUGGAUUGUAGAAGUAUGAAAGUCGCUAGAACUUCGAAACUUUUCGGUCGACUGAAAUAGAUCAUAUUUUACAUUGAAUUUCUACAAUUAAUGUCAGUCGCGUAAAACUUCUCUUUUAAACAAAACAAUUAGUAAUUACGCACCAAGGUUUGCGAGUAUCACAAGCUUGUAGAACAACCUCGAUUCAAAUUUAAUAUCUCGUGGCUAUGUGCCAUUGACAACGUCCCCUACAAGUUCCCAAACGCCAGGAGGUAGAAAUAGAAUAAAGAUCCAGUGAGAUCGACGCGCUAAGGAGCGUGUCAGAAUCAAAGAGUGCAAUUAAAGUCACCGUUAAAAGCAAGAUCGUCAGGAACGAUCCAUUGGAAAAGACGGCUCUGGCAUGUGCUCCAGUUUUAGUUCAGCAGCAAGCGUUUCGUCGCUUUUGGGUGGAAGUUUGAGGCAGCAGGAAGGGGGCCCCGUGGAUGGAGAAACAGGACGCAGCGAACCCGAUAGCGGCGUACGUAUCGAACAGGAGGACGAAUCGAGGGCAGAAUUCCGCUCGUGGAAUCUUGCAGCCCCCGAACCGAGCGAAGACAGAAAAGACUGAUGUCCUGUAUCCUGUCCCCGAGCGAUCCGUGGAGAGAGCGACGACGACGAAAAAAAGCGGAGCGAGCGAGCUGGAUGCCGUUGGUAUCCGGAAUGGAUUACGGAAUCGGAUGGAACAGCGGACCGGAAAGUCCUCCUUCUCUAUUCUAGCGCGACACCUCAUCAUUCCGCCACGUUCGCCGUAGAGCCCUCCCGCGGCCCCGAGGAUCGCAUGGGAAUUCCCGUAUCACGAAGCGCGCGUAAAUCCAUUCCGGUAUUGGAUCAAACGCCUAACGCGUUCACCCUUAAGAAUGUCGGGUUAUCGCAAGUGGAAGAAAAAUGACCGAACUGUGGGUCACGACAGGCUCAUCUCUUGGUCUCUUUGGUAAUUUGUUUGCUUAUUUCUCGUUAUUAUGGCGAUUCAAAGAUAGGGUUUAUGGCAAAGACUAUGGUGAUUGUUUAUGAAGAAUUGUUUGGAUGUAAGAUUAUACACGAUUUUAUAUUUAGAAGAUAUUUCUUUGAAUCGACGUAGUAACUGGAAGAAAUAAUAUUGAGAGUGUCAGGUUAACAAUGUCCCGCUUCUUUAAAUAGUAACGUAAAAUUUUGAACGUUUGUUAGGUUCUAAUACAUUUCAUGUGAUAGCAUUCAAUGUUUGCACUUGAGUUAUCGAGCGACUGUAAGCCCUGGAAUAUUAAUAGAAAAAAUACGAUUGAAGGAACUGCGCAGCGUGUUCAAAUGUAACUGCAGAUUUAUCACCGAGAGCGGCAGGUUAUCUAAAGUUUCCAAAUUUAGAAACUUGGGACCUUUGCAUAGUUCUAGAGUUCCAAUGUAUUUAGUGGAAGAGCAUUCAGUCUUUGAAGUUGGAAAUUAAUAGUAACUCUACGUUAGGUAUACAGCAGAUGAAAACGAUUAAAAGGUGUAAAUAACGGUUUAAAAGAAACUUAGGCUUUUCAAGGAAAUUGGGGUACGUACUCGUACGUUUCGUUUCUAAAUUUUUGUAAAUAUCGUAAUACAGAAGUAACCACUAAAAUUGCGAAUACAUGUUUAUAAUUAUAUUUCCCAUUUAUAUAAAAUAACUACAUCACCGUAAGAUGUAAGUUUACGAGUGUGCAAAUGUUUUUAAAUGUUCUCAAAUAUCCUGACAUUCUUGAUAUUAAACCCAUCGUUAUUUUUAAAUUGAUUGUUUAAACCCUUUGAUCGUUUUCAUCCGUGGUAUACAGUCUUACGUGUAGUUGUAUGUAUCAUACGUACUAUGGAUACGUAGACGCAUUGUUGCGUGGUACAACGAGAAAGUGUGGCGCUAACUGAAACGUGAGAUCAGAUGUGUCUCGCGAUAUGUGCACGAUCGAAAUGCUUCCCAUUGGAUUAGCAUACUAUCAUUUAAACAGGCAUUCCGGAUGCGUCAUCCGGCCGUCAUUAGUAGCGCUCAUUGAAGGUCCAUUGAAAGCUGGAUCCAGUCCUACAGACUAAUUACAGUCCGGCGUAUACGGUAUCGAAAGCAGUCACCAAUCUAUAAAAGGGCUGCGGAACACGUACUAUCUCGUGUCAUCUACGUAUGCGUUUGGCAUUGUGCCCAUUAAUGAAACCGAACAUACUACUUUACCCUGUUCCGUAAUUUCGUUCUCGUUAUUUUAAUGAUAAUCCGUCUCCUUUCGUUUGACAACACGCAUUGUAUUGUAUCCGUUCU